GCUGGGUACAGUGGCGCACGCCUGUAAUCCCAGUGGCUCAGGAGGCUGAGGCAGGAGGAUCAUGAGUUCAAAGCCAGCCUCAGCAAUAGUGAGGUGCUAAGCAAUUCAGUGAGACCCUGUCUCUA
rnacentral:sRNA from 1 species